UUUGAAGACAAUUGUGAUACUAAACACAUUAGGGAAUUCAGAAGUGCAUCCAAUGGAUGUUCAACCAACUGAACUCAAAGAAGAUGCAAAAGAACAUGAACAAACACAAGAAGACAAUAAUGAGAAAAGCUUGGAAACUUCAAAUGAAGAUGACCUCCACCCAAAUGAAAAUGCAGUUUGAUUAAUUCUCGUAGAUAUGUGUAUACGAGUGGCUCUUGUUAAAAGAGUCCUCGAGCCAUAAAGGUUCCCUUUACAUUCUGUAUACCCUUUCCUUUACAUGGAUGUAUUAGCAUAAAAGCAA
rnacentral:lncRNA from 1 species